AGAGUUUGAUCAUGGCUCAGAGCGAACGCUGGCGGCGUACUUAACACAUGCAAGUCGAACGAGGACCAUUGGUGUAGCAAUACAUCAGUGGUUCUAGUGGCGCACGGGUGAGUAACACGUGGGUAACCUGCCCUAGAGCCUGAGAUACCCCCUCGAAAGGGGGGCUAAUACCGGAUACGUUCUUCGGACCGAGAGGUCUGGAGAGGAAAGGUGGCGCAAGCUGCCGCUCUUGGAGGGGCUCGCGGCCUAUCAGCUAGUUGGCGGGGUAACGGCCCACCAAGGCUAUGACGGGUAGCUGGUCUGAGAGGACGACCAGCCACACGGGGACUGAGACACGGCCCCGACUCCUACGGGAGGCAGCAGUGGGGAAUUUUCCGCAAUGGGCGAAAGCCUGACGGAGUGACGCCGCGUGUGGGACGAAGGCCUUCGGGUCGUAAACCACUGUCAGUGGGAAAGAUGGGCGUCGGCGUGAUAACCGCCGGCGUCUGACGGUACCUGCAGAGGAAGCCCCGGCUAACUCUGUGCCAGCAGCCGCGGUAAGACAGAGGGGGCAAGCGUUGCUCGGAAUUACUGGGCGUAAAGGGCGCGUAGGCGGGAUGGCAAGUCGGUCGUGAAAUCCCUCGGCUCAACCGAGGUGCGUCGAUCGAUACUGCCGUUCUUGAGGGUUGCAGAGGAGACUGGAAUUCCCGGUGUAGCGGUGAAAUGUGUAGAGAUCGGGAGGAACACCGGUGGCGAAGGCGGGUCUCUGGGCAACUCCUGACGCUGAGGCGCGAAAGCGUGGGGAGCAAACGGGAUUAGAUACCCUAGUAGUCC
rnacentral:rRNA from 1 species